rnacentral:rRNA from 1 species
AGUGAACGCUGGCGGUAGGCCUAACACAUGCAAGUCGAACGGCAGCACAGUAAGAGCUUGCUCUUACGGGUGGCGAGUGGCGGACGUGUGAGGAAUACAUCGGAAUCUACUUUUUCGUGGGUGAUAACGUAGGGAAACUUACUCUAAUACCGCAUACUACCUACGGGUGAAAGCAUUGGAUCUUCGGACCUUUCGCGAUUGAAUGAGCCGAUGUCGGAUUAGCUAGUUGGCGGGGUAAAGGCCCACCAAGGCGACGAUCCGUAGCUGGUCUGAGAGGAUGAUCAGCCACACUGGAACUGAGACACGGUCCAGACUACUACGGGAGGCAGCAGUGGGGAAUAUUGGACAAUGGGCGCAAGCCUGAUACAGCAAUACCGCGUGGGUGAAGAAGGACUUCGGGUUGUAAAGCCCUUUUGUUGGGAAAGAAAAGAAGCAGGUUAAUACCCCGCUGUUAUGACGGUACCAAAAGAAUAAGCACCGGCUAACUUCGUG